CUAAGGCUCCAGAGGAGGCCACGGCUAACUCUGUGCCAGCAGCCGCGGUAAUACAGAGGCGGCAAGCGUUGUUCGGAAUUAUUGGGCGUAAAGAGCACGUAGGCGGCCUUGCAAGUCAGUUGUGAACGCCUUCCGCUUAACGGAAGAAUGCCAGCUGAUACUACAGGGCUUGAGUACGGGAGGGGAGAGUGGAACUUCUGGUGGAGCGGUGAAAUGCGUAGAUAUCAGAAGGAACGCCGGCGGCGAAAGCGACUCUCUGGCCCGAAACUGACGCUGAGUGUGCGAAAGCUAGGGGAGCAAACGGGAUUAGAUACCCCGGUAGUCCUAGCCGUAGA
rnacentral:rRNA from 1 species